rnacentral:rRNA from 1 species
GAUGAACGCUGGCGGCGUGCCUAAUACAUGCAAGUCGAGCGAACAGACGAGGAGCUUGCUCCUCUGACGUUAGCGGCGGACGGGUGAGUAACACGUGGAUAACCUACCUAUAAGACUGGGAUAACUUCGGGAAACCGGAGCUAAUACCGGAUAAUAUAUUGAACCGCAUGGUUCAAUAGUGAAAGACGGUUUUGCUGUCACUUAUAGAUGGAUCCGCGCCGCAUUAGCUAGUUGGUAAGGUAACGGCUUACCACGGCAACGAUGCGUAGCCGACCUGAGAGGGUGAUCGGCCACACGGGAACUGGGACAGGGUCCAGACUCCUACGGGAGGCAGCAGUAGGGAAUCUUCCGCAAUGGGCGAAAGCUUGACGGAGCAACACCGCGUGAGUGAUGAAGGUCUUCGGAUCGUAAAACUCUGUUAUUAGGGAAGAACAAAUGUGUAAGUAACUAUGCACGUCUUGACGGUACCUAAUCAGAAAGCCACGGCUAACUACGUG